rnacentral:rRNA from 1 species
AGUGAACGCUGGCGGCGUGCUUAACACAUGCAAGUCGAACGAGAACGGGUUAUAGCUUGCUAUAAUUGUCAGCUAAGUGGCGCACGGGUGAGUAAUGUAUAGGUAAUAUGCCUCUUACUAAGGGAUAACAAAUGGAAACGUUUGCUAAUACCUUAUACUCCUUAUUAACAGAAGUUAAUAAGGGAAAGAUUUAUUGGUAAGAGAUUAGCCUGUAUUGUAUCAGUUAGUUGGUGAGGUAAUGGCUUACCAAGACUAUGACACAUAACUGGUUUGAGAGGAUGAUCAGUCACACUGGAACUGAGACACGGUCCAGACUCCUACGGGAGGCAGCAGUGGGGAAUAUUGCACAAUGGACGAAAGUCUGAUGCAGCAACGCCGCGUGGAGGAUGACACAUUUCGGUGCGUAAACUCCUUUUAUAUGAGAAGAUAAUGACGGUAUUAUAUGAAUAAGCACCGGCUAACUCCGUGCCAGCAGCCGCAGUAA